rnacentral:rRNA from 1 species
UACGGGGGGAGCAAGCGUUGUUCGGAUUUACUGGGCGUAAAGGGCGCGUAGGCGGCCACCGCAAGUCGACUGUGAAAUCUCCGGGCUUAACUCGGAAAGGUCAGCCGAUACUGCGGGGCUAGAGUGCAGAAGGGGCAACUGGAAUUCCGGGUGUAGCGGUGGAAUGCGUAGAGAUCCGGAAGAACACCGGUGGCGAAGGCGGCCUGCUGGGCAGUUGCUGACACUGAGGCGCGACAGCGUGGGGAGCAAACAGG